rnacentral:rRNA from 1 species
GCACGACCGUACCGCAAACCGACACAGGUGCGCGAGAUGAGUAUUCUAAGGCGCUUGAGAGAACUCAGGAGAAGGAACUCGGCAAAUUGACACCGUAACUUCGGAAGAAGGUGUGCCUUUAGUAGGUGAACCUGUACAAGGGGAGCCCAAUGAGGUUGCAAAAAAUCGGUGGCUGCGACUGUUUAAUAAAAACACAGCACUCUGCAAACACGAAAGUGGACGUAUAGGGUGUGACGCCUGCCCGGUGCUGGAAGAUUAAAUGAUGGGGUGCAAGCUCUUGAUUGAAGUCCCAGUAAACGGCGGCCGUAACGAUAACGGUCCUAAGGUAGCGAAAUUCCUUGUCGGGUAAGUUCCGACCUGCACGAAUGGCGUAACGAUGGCCACACUGUCUCCUCCUGAGACUCAGCGAAGUUGAAAUGUUUGUGAUGAUGCAAUCUCCCCGCGGAAAGACGGAAAGACCCCAUGAACCUUUACUGUAGCUUUGUAUUGGACUUUGAACAGAUCUGUGUAGGAUAGGUGGGAGGCUUUGAAGUGUGGUCGCUAGAUCGCAUGGAGCCAACGUUGAAAUACCACCCUGGUGUGUUUGAGGUUCUAACCUAGGCCCGUAAUCCGGGUCGGGGACAGUGCAUGGUAGGCAGUUUGACUGGGGCGGUCUCCUCCCAAAGCGUAACGGAGGAGUUCGAAGGUACGCUAGGUACGGUCGGACAUCGUGCUAAUAGUGCAAUGGCAUAAGCGUGCUUAACUGCGAGACUGACAAGUCGAGCAGAUGCGAAAGCAGGACAUAGUGAUCCGGUGGUUCUGUAUGGAAGGGCCAUCGUUCAACGGAUAAAAGGUACUCUGGGGAUAACAGGCUGAUACCGCCCAAGAGUUCAUAUCGACGGCGGUGUUUGGCACCUCGAUGUCGGCUCAUCUCAUCCUGGGGCUGUAGCCGGUCCCAAGGGUAUGGCUGUUCGCCAUUUAAAGAGGUACGUGAGCUGGGUUUAAAACGUCGUGAGACAGUUUGGUCCCUAUCUUCCGUGGGCGCUGCAGAUUUGAGGAAGCCUGCUCCUAGUACGAGAGGACCGGAGUGGACACACCUCUGGUGUAUCGGUUGUCACGCCAGUGGCAUUGCCGAGUAGCUAUGUGUGGAAGAGAUAACCGCUGAAAGCAUCUAAGCGGGAAACUCGUUUCAAGAUGAGAUCUGCCGGGGCCUUGAGCCCCCUAAAGAGUCGUUCAAGACCAGGACGUUGAUAGGUCGGGUGUGGAAGCGCAGUAAUGCGUUAAGCUAACCGAUACUAAUUGCUCGUGCGGCUUGACC